GGAAAACCACGGAUCGAAGCCUAAACCACUCCGGCUGCAGUUUGGGACUUUUGCCGAUUCCCGGCGAUUUCGGCCACCUCCGGUCCCCAUUUCUUCGUCGAAGUUAUGAAGACGUGAGGAGGAUUCCCUCGAGGAGGGUUUGGAUCGACGGCAGGCUUAGCCGUACAUUUUUGCAGGCGAAUUAGUGGAGGUCGGGCGUACAUGACAUUUGAGGCAUAGUUGUCACUACUUCUGUAAUGUAGGAUCACUUGAUCCUUUACUCCUCUGUUAUAUCCCUGUGUAUAGUAGUAUUGCUCUGCAUAACCUUGGGAUUAGUAUUUUUGAGUUUUGUGUUUUGUGAAAGUGGAGUUGUUGGUAAUUGGGAGCAGGGUGGCUCCAGGAGUAUAAGGUUGGCUUUCUUGAAGUGUUUAGUGUGUUUUACAGGUUUUUGGGUAGUCCAUUUUAGAGGUGACUCUGCCGAAUUUUCGGUAGGGUUAUCCCUAAGGUGGGCCCCACAGGGCCACCUCGGGUUUCAGGGUGAAAUUCGGGGUGGGUCCUGUCAGUUGUUGCCGCUGUAAUACCCAUCGGAGAUCCCACCGAAGUAACCCACCGGAGAAAGGCCCAGUUGCGGACUCUGAUACCAGUUCAUAACAUCGUAAAAGAAGGAAACUAUAGAAAACUAAAGUAAAUGAAAAGCUUCAAUAUUCUUCAAUGAUGCUUACAGCAAUGGAUGCUUACUAUUUAAAUAAAUGGGUGUAG
rnacentral:lncRNA from 1 species